rnacentral:lncRNA from 1 species
AUGGCUGCUAGAAGGGACCAUGACAAGCCGGUUCAGAUUCUGGGCCCCAGCCUUCUCUUGAUCUUAGUCACGGACACCCAUCCACUUUCACCCAGCCAAGAGAAAGACUCACUGCAAGCUGUGAAUAAUGAGGCUAGAAAAUCAUUAAGGCAAGAGAUGAAGACAGGUUAUUUCAGGUGUGUCUUUGAGAAGAUGAGAAGAUCGCAGACCUGUGUUCUAAACUGGCAUACUUCUAAAGAAAAGCAAGUUAAAUGGCACUGUCAAAGCUGAGACUGGAAACCUGUGAUCAAUGGGAGGUGCAUCUCCAUCUUACAGCAUACAAGACGGGUAAUGCUGGAACUGAAUAUGUUAUAGAGUCCACUGGUGUCUUCACUACCUUAUAAGAGGCUGGGACUCACUUGCAGGAUAGACCCCAAGGUAUCGUCAUCUCUGCCACUUCUUUGGUUGCUGCCAUGUUUGUGGUGGCAGUGAGUCAUAAGAUAUAUGACCAGUCCUUCAAGAUUGGCAGCAGUGCCUCCUGCACCAGCAAACUCAUGGCCACCCUGGCCAAGGUCACCAUGACAACAUUGAUAUUGUGGAGAGAUUAUUGACCAC